AGAGGGAUAGCUGGGUUAAAUGGUGGUUCCAUUCCCAGAUUUCCAAGGAAUCUCCAUACUGCUUUCCAUAUUGGCUGCACCAAUUUGCAGUCCCACCAGCAAU
rnacentral:pre_miRNA from 1 species